rnacentral:rRNA from 1 species
AUUGAACGCUGGCGGCAGGCUUAACACAUGCAAGUCGAACGAGUGGCGGACGGGUGAGUUAUGCUUGGGCAUCUAGCUUAUGGAGGGGGAUAACUACGGGACACUGUAGCUAAUACCGCGUACCUUAGGCUGAGCCGAAGUGGGUUUAGGUAGUGGGGGGGGUAAAGGCUCACCAAGCCGACGAUCUCUAGCUGGUCUGAGAGGAUGACCAGCCACACUGGAACUGAGACACGGCCCAGACUCCUACGGGAGGCAGCAGUGGGGAAUAUUGCGCAAUGGGGGCAACCCUGACGCAGCCAGGCCGCGUGUAUGAAGAAGGCCUUAGGGUUGUAAAGUACUUUCAGCGGGGAGGCGUUACCCGCAGAAGAAGCACCGGCUAACUCCGUGCCAGCAGCCGCGGUAAUAC